GUGUUCGCUUCAGCAGCACGUAUACUAAAAACUGGAACAAUACAGAGAAGUUUAGCAUGGCCCCUUCACAAGGAUUGACACGUGCAUUCGCGAAGCGUUCCAUAUUUUU